UGACCUUCGGGGUGGGGGAGACAGAGACAAGAGGGCAGACACAACAGCCCUCCAGCUCUGGACGUGGAGGCAGGACCCUGAGUGCUUAGAAGGAAAUGACAGGCCGCCUCAUUCACAAUGGAAGGAAACUGAGGUGGGGAAAGGAAGACUCAGGCAGGAACCCUCCCUGCCCCCCAGACGGGGCUAAGAUGCCCUGGCACAGCCCCCUCUCCAGAAGGAGACACUGUGGAUCGAAGGCCUGCUGGGUGCCAGGCUCCACCAUCGGUGUCUUCCAUGCUUCAUUAGCCCAUUAAGUCCCACCACCAGGAAAGGGCAGUGGAGCAGCCUCGGCUGGCUGUGUCCUCACGUGGGUCUCCUGACCUCCUCAACCUCAGCUCUCUGUCUGGGAAACCGGGUGCCAGGUCAGUGUCAGGACCUUGAUGACGCCCUCCCUCCGGGCAGCGGAGUUCCCAAAGUGCUGAGGUAGCAUUUCUGAUUCCAUCCCCACAAUGACUCCAUUUAACAGAGGAGGAAACUGAG